GCUCAAAUUUGAAAUCUCACAAGGUCACUUGUGCGAAUUGUAGUUUAGAGAAACGUUUUCGGGGGCGACGUGGGUAUAAGUCCUUUGGAAAGAGGCAUCAUAGAGGGUGAGAAUCCCGUUUAUGAUCCACUGUUCGCUCCUAUGUGAUACGUUUUCCAAGAGUCAUGUAGUUUGGGAUUGCUGCAUAAAAUGGGUGGUAAAUACCAUCUAAAGCUAAAUAUUGGCGGGAGACCGAUAGCGAACAAGUACCGUGAGGGAAAGAUGAAAAGAACUUUGAAAAGAGAGUUAAACAGUACGUGAAAUUGCCAAAAGGGAAACGCUUGGAACCAGUAUUGCUUUCAAGUAAUCAACUUCACGUCCCGCAAGGGUCGCGUGGGGUGCACUUGCUUGCAAGCGAGCCAACAUCAGUUUGGCUUGGGGUAAAAAGCCGGAGGAAGGUAGCUUGAACUUCGGUUUGAGUGUUAUAGCCUCCGGUCAUGCCUUGGGCCAGACUGAGGUCUGCAGCGUUAUUUGGAUUCCCGGUUGCCUCUUGAGACCAACCCUAGACAGCACGCUGACUAGGGUGACGUUUAGAGAGCUCAGCCGGUUCAUCACACCUACGCUUAGGAUGUUGGCGAAAUGGUUCCAAACGACCCGUCUUGAAACACGGACCAAGGAGUCUAACAUAUAUGCGAGUAUUUGGGUGGCAAACCCUCAUGCGCAAUGAAAGUGAACUUAGGUGGGAUCUUCGGUGCACCAUCGACCGGUCUGGAUUUUUUUUGAUAGAUCUGAGUAAGAGCAUACAUGUUGGGACCCGAAAGAUGGUGAACUAUGCCUGAAUAGGGUGAAGCCAGAGG
rnacentral:rRNA from 2 species